rnacentral:rRNA from 1 species
CCUACGGGACGCAGCAGUGGGGAAUAUUGCACAAUGGGCGCAAGCCUGAUGCAGCGACGCCGCGUGAGCGAAGAAGUAUUUCGGUAUGUAAAGCUCUAUCAGCAGGGAAGAAAAUGACGGUACCUGACUAAGAAGCUCCGGCUAAAUACGUGCCAGCAGCCGCGGUAAUACGUAUGGAGCAAGCGUUAUCCGGAAUUACUGGGUGUAAAGGGAGCGUAGACGGAUGGGCAAGUCUGAUGUGAAAGGCGGGGGCUCAACCCCUGGACUGCAUUG